rnacentral:rRNA from 1 species
AUUGAACGCUGGCGGCAUGCCUUACACAUGCAAGUCGAACGGUAACGGGCCUUCGGGUGCCGACGAGUGGCGAACGGGUGAGUAAUGUAUCGGAACGUACCUUUCAGUGGGGGAUAACGUAGCGAAAGUUACGCUAAUACCGCCUAUUCUGUGAGCAGGAAAGCAGGGGAUCGCAAGACCUUGCGCUGAUUGAGCGGCCGAUAUCAGAUUAGCUAGUUGGUGAGGUAAAGGCUCACCAAGGCGACGAUCUGUAGCGGGUCUGAGAGGAUGAUCAGCCACACUGGACCUGAGACACGGGCCAGACUCCUACGGGAGGCAGCAGUGGGGAAUUUUGGACAAUGGGGGCAACCCUGAUCCAGCCAUGCCGCGUGAGUGAAGAAGGCCUUCGGGUUGUAAAGCUCUUUCGGCCGGGAAGAAAUCGUAUCAGCUAAUACCUGGUGCGGAUGACGGUACCGGCAUAAGAAGCACCGGCUAACUACGUGCCAGCCGCCGCGGUAAUAC